UUCACCUACGGGGGGCAGCAGUGGGGAAUAUUGCACAAUGGGGGAAACCCUGAUGCAGCAACGCCGCGUGAGUGAAGAAGUAUUUCGGUAUGUAAAGCUCUAUCAGCAGGGAAGAAGAUGACGGUACCUGAUUAAGAAGCCCCGGCUAACUACGUGCCAGCAGCCGCGGUAAUACGUAGGGGGCAAGCGUUAUCCGGAUUUACUGGGUGUAAAGGGAGCGUAGACGGCAUAGCAAGUCUGAAGUGAAAGCCCAAGG
rnacentral:rRNA from 1 species